UACAGAGGCCUCGAGCGUUAGGCGGAAUCACUGGGCUUAAAGCGUGUGUAGGUGGAUGCCUAAGUACCUUGUGAAAUCCCAUGGCUUAACCAUGGAAUUGCUCGGUAUACUGGGUGUCUUGAGCCACUCAGGGGCUACCGGAACAAGCGGUGGAGCGGUGAAAUGCGUAGAUAUCGCUUGGAACGCCAAAGGUGAAAACAGGUAGCUGGGGGUGUGCUGACACUGAGACACGAAAGCCAGGGGAGCAAACGGG
rnacentral:rRNA from 1 species